rnacentral:rRNA from 1 species
AUGACAACGCCGUGGCAGCAACGAGCUUUCACCAAAUUGUUCGGGCUUCAGUACACCAUCAAAUACAAGAAGGGGGCAGAGAACACAACAGCUGAUGCAUUGUCAAGAACCAACACAGAAGAAGUGCUACACACUCUCAGCGUGUGCCAACCAGCUUGGUUAGAGGACAUCGUCAACAACUACAAUACCAACCCGCAGGCGCAGCGACUUCUCGAACAACUGGCUGUCCGGGAGGAUCCAAAAGGGCGAUUUCAGCUGCAAAACGGGCUCCUCCGUUUCCGCGGCCGCAUCUGGCUAGGAGGGACCACAACAAUGCAGCAACAUAUCAUUGCUGCCUUUCACGACAUCCCGAUGGGCGGUCAUUCUGGGUUCCCAGUGACUUAUCGCCGCGUCCGCCGGCUAUUUGCUUGGCCCAAGAUGAAAACACACAUCCAACAAUACGUGAGAUGCUGUCAGGUCUGCCAACGAGCCAAGCCAGAUAGAACAGCUUCGCCGGGCUUGUUGUUACCCCUUCCUAUACCCAAGGAGUCAUGGGACCUCAUCACCAUGGAUUUUGUGGACGGCUUACCUCAGUCCGGACAAUACAACUGCUUGCUGGUUGUUGUCGACAAAAGAACCCGGUUUGCUCACUUUCUUCCCCUGGCUCACCCAUACACAGCAUCUAAAGUGGCACUGCUCUACAUGCAACAGUUAUACAAACUCCAUGGAUUCCCAGGAGCCAUUGUGUCCGAUCACGACCCAGUCUUUACCAGUCACUUUUGGCAGGAGUGGUUCAAGUAUGCAGGCACCGGGCUACGGAUGAGCACAGCAAACCACCCACAGACCGACGGGCAAACCGAGAGGGUGAACCAAUGCAUCGAGACCUACCUUCGUUGCUUUGUGCAAGCCUGUCCGAAAACGGUGGAGCUUUUGGGUUCCCUUGGCCCAAUUCUGGUACAACUCUUCUCACCACUCAGCAAUCGGGAUGACACCAUUCAAGGCCAUGUUCGGCAGGGAACCACGACAUUGGGUAAUUACGGCAACUACUUCAUCUUCGGUACCAGCGCUGCAAACUUGCCUCGAAGAGCGAGCUGUCAUGCAAGACUUGAUACAGCA